UACGUAGGGGGCAAGCGUUGUCCGGAUUUAUUGGGCGUAAAGAGCGUGUAGGCGGCCUGGUAGGUCAGCUGUGAAAACUCGAGGCUCAACCUCGAGACGUCGGUUGAAACCACCUGGCUAGAGUCCGGAAGAGGAGAGUGGAAUUCCCGGUGUAGCGGUGAAAUGCGCAGAUAUCGGGAAGAACACCCGUGGCGAAGGCGGCUCUCUGGGACGGUACUGACGCUGAGACGCGAAAGCGUGGGGAGCAAACAGG
rnacentral:rRNA from 1 species